CGGCGGCUAUAGCGGUGGGGAAACGCCCGGUCCCAUUCCGAACCCGGAAGCUAAGCCCACCUGCGCCGAUGGUACUGCACUGUAAUGGGUGUGGGAGAGUAGGACACCGCCGAACA
rnacentral:rRNA from 1 species